rnacentral:rRNA from 1 species
UACGUAGGGGGCAAGCGUUGUCCGGAAUUAUUGGGCGUAAAGAGCGCGUAGGCGGUCUGAUAAGUCGGUUGUGAAAGUCGGGGGCUCAACCCUCGGAUGCCGAUCGAUACUGUCAGGCUAGAGUCCGGAAGAGGCGAGUGGAAUUCCUGGUGUAGCGGUGAAAUGCGCAGAUAUCAGGAGGAACACCAAUGGCGAAGGCAGCUCGCUGGGACGGUACUGACGCUGGAGGCGCGAAAGCGUGGGGAGCAAACAGG